UUGAAAAGAGAGUUAAACAGUAUGUGAAAUUGUUAAAAGGGAACCGUUUGGAGCCAGACUGGCUUGAUCGUAAUCACUCUAGGCUUUGGCCUGGAUGCACUUGCGGUCUAUGCCGGCCAACGACAGUUUUGUUUGAGGGAAAAAAUUACAUUGAAUGUGGCCCUUCGGGGUGUUAUAGCUUUGUAAAAAAUACCUUGGACGGGACUGAGGAACGCAGCGAAUGCCUUUAGGCGAGAUUGCUGGGUGCUUGCGCUGAUACAUGCUAGAAUUUCUGCUUUGGGUGGUGCUAGUGUGUAAAGGAGUAACCCGCUUAGUAUAUUUUUUAUUCGCUUAGGUUGUUGGCUUAAUGACUCUAAAUGACCCGUCUUGAAACACGACCCAAGACGUC
rnacentral:rRNA from 1 species